UAGGCCUUGGCAAAAAAACCGUAC
rnacentral:siRNA from 1 species